UACGGAGGGGGCUAGCGUUGUUCGGAAUUACUGGGCGUAAAGCGCACGUAGGCGGCUUUGUAAGUUAGAGGUGAAAGCCCAGGGCUCAACCCUGGAAUUGCCUUUAAGACUGCAUCGCUAGAAUUGUGGAGAGGUAAGUGGAAUUCCGAGUGUAGAGGUGAAAUUCGUAGAUAUUCGGAAGAACACCAGUGGCGAAGGCGACUUACUGGACACAUAUUUGACGCUAAGGUGCGAAAGCGUGGGGAGCAAACAGG
rnacentral:rRNA from 1 species